CACCGCCCGUCAGCCAUGGAAGUGGUGAGCGCCCGAAGUCCGUGUCGGAACCCGCAAGGGGCCAAGCGGCCGAAGGCGAGCAUCAUGACUGGGCG
rnacentral:rRNA from 1 species